rfam:Dipodomys ordii contig_5021, whole genome shotgun sequence.
GGGAAGUUGACUCAGUGAUAGAGUGCUUGCCUUGCAUGCAAGAGGCCCUGGACUAGAUUCCUCA